GGAACUAUGCCGGAAGAAUUAACAUCACGGUGGUUGGUACUUCCUGUCAGCGGUGGGAUAGUCAGACUCCACACACCCAUAACUUCAAAUACAUGUCAGAUCAGGAAAAUUACUGCAGAGGUGUAGGGGUGGGGGCGGAUUCCCCGUGGUGUUACACCAUAAACCCUAGUCAGCGGUGGCAGAGAUGUUAUGUGAAACCCUGCGCCAAAGUGCAAUCUACGGGAGACUGUUACAAAUUUAGCCGAGGGGAAGAUUAUUACGGGACAAUCAACGUAACGGCAGACGGUGUUCCGUGUCAGCGCUGGGAUUCCGACUCUCCUCACGGACACUACUUUCACGACCUGGACGGAGAGGAAAACUACUGCAGGAAACCCCCGGGACUGGCAACUAAACCUUGGUGUUUUACUGUAUCUCCCUCCAUCAGAUAUGGAUUCUGCAACAUCAGUCAGUGUGCGACCUAAUACAAUCGAUGUACAGAUAGUACUAAUAGAAAAUGAUAUUACAGGGGAGAAAACUACUUAUGAACAUUUUGAACCAAUAUAAAUCUUUCCUGACGGUCUAUGUACAGAUGGAGAUUCAGAACUUAUUGAUACUGACCACAAUCAUAUCAUAACUAAGUUUUAAAAUGUUUUAAAAAUAGGAUGAAAACCCUAUAAGUACUUUAACAAGUCCUGGGAAUGCUACAUGUAAAACAAGAGGGCCAUGGGCCACAUCGCUCACAUUAGUCACCUUGGCCCAUAUUUAAAGAUUUUCUCUCUAUAUAUUCGCAUGUAAAACUUUGAUCCAUAUUGUGCCCCAAUCUACCCCCCACCCCGGGGGGGGGUAUGCUUUUUACAAAAUUUAAUCUGCACCAUGUCAGAAAGCUUUCAUGUUAAUGUAAUUUUUUUGGCCCAGUGGUUCUUGAGAAGAAGAUUUUAAAGAUUUUGUCCAUGUAUUUGUAUGUAAAACUUUGAUUUUCCUUGUUGUGGCUCUAUCGUACCCACGAUGGCCAUGAUUUUAACAACCUUGAACUGCACUAUGUCGGGAAGCUUUUAUGGGAAUUUGUACUUUCCUGGUCCAGUGGUUCUUGGGAAGAAUGUUUUUUUUUUUUUUGUUUUUUUUUUUUAGGUUUUCCCUAUAUAUUCGCAUGUAUAACUUUGAUCUCCUAUUGUGGCCUAGACCUAUCCCAGGGUCAUGGUUUUAACAAACUUGAAUCUUAAGGCUUCAACGAUACGUCCCCUUCACGAUACGAUACAUAUUGCAAUGUGUUUGCUACGAUUCAAUAUUUUCAAUACGAUACAUUUUACAGAACAAACCAAUAUCUGUGAAGAAAAAAAUUAAUUACGAAGAUUCAGUUACAAUUUUAGAAGCAAAAUGUUUCCAAACCGCCGAACGGUAAGAUGCCUGUUGGCUUUGUUGUUUAAACUGAUUACUUUUAUGAUUGUUUUUGUCAGACUCGAGGCUAAUAACAAUCUGACUGUUAUUGGACGUCAUUUUGUUCCUCGUGUAUGUAUAAAUGAUAAGUACAGAUCAAGCCCGGUGUAUUUUACCGUUAAAUAACCCUACCCUAUUUUUACAUUUUGGUGAUUAUCUCUCCUUUGAAGGGAGCAUGACCCUUCAUUUGAACAAAAUUGCAAGCCCCUUACCCAAGGAUGCUUUUUGCCAAGUUUGGUGGAAAUUGGCUUAGUGGUUCUGGAAAAGAAGAUGAAAAUGUAAAAAGUUUACAGACAGACAACAGGUGAUAUCAGAAAAGCUCACUUGAGCUUUCAGCUCAGGUGAGCUAAAAACUAUAGGUAAAACUUCCAGGUUAAGGUCACAAGAUUACACCAUUGCUUCACAUGAAAGGUCUUGCUGCAAAGAAUGUAUAUACAAAAUAUGAAAUCCCUUGCUUACAUGUACAUAAUUCAAGAACGAUUUAAAAGAUUUUUCCUGUAUACAUGUACCAGUAUAUGUAAGAUGUUGAUUUGAUCCUUUAUUGUGGCCCCGUCCUUCCUGUGGGAAUCAUAAAUUGAACAAACUUAAAUCUACGUUAUCGCAGAAAGCUUUCAUGUAAAUUUAAGAUUUUCUUGCCCAGUGGUUCCUGAGAAGAUUUUCUUAUAUAGCAGCAUGUAAAACUUGUAUCCCCUAUUGUGGCCGUGAUCUGAAUAAACUUGAAUAUACGUUAUAACAGGAAUCUUUCAGGUAAAUUUCCACUCUUAUGGCCCAG